rnacentral:tRNA from 1 species
GCCUGGCUGGCUCAGCUGGUAGAGCAUGUGACUCCAGAUACCAGGGUCAUGAGUUCCAGCCCCAUGUCGGGCG